UACGGGGGGAGCAAGCGUUGUUCGGAUUUACUGGGCGUAAAGAGCGCGCAGGCGGUCGUUCAAGUCGCGUGUGAAAGCCCCCGGCUCAACUGGGGAGGGUCACGCGAUACUGAUCGACUCGAAGGCAGGAGAGGGUAGUGGAAUUCCCGGUGUAGUGGUGAAAUGCGUAGAUAUCGGGAGGGACACCAGUGGCGAAGGCGACUACCUGGCCUGUUCUUGACGCUGAGGCGCGAAAGCUAGGGGAGCAAACGGG
rnacentral:rRNA from 1 species